rnacentral:rRNA from 1 species
UACGUAGGGUGCGAGCGUUGUCCGGAAUUAUUGGGCGUAAAGGGCGCGUAGGUGGUUAUUUAAGUCAGAUGUGAAAUCCCUGGGCUUAACCUAGGAAUUGCAUUUGAAACUAGAUGGCUAGAGUAUGGUAGAGGGAAGUGGAAUUUCCGGUGUAGCGGUGAAAUGCGUAGAUAUCGGAAGGAACACCAGUGGCGAAGGCGACUUCCUGGACCAUUACUGACACUGAGGCGCGAAAGCGUGGGGAGCGAACAGG